UCUCUUCCCUCUUCUCCUCCUCUCCCCCAAAAACCGCCGCCGCCGCCUGCUACUCAACGCGCCCAGCUCCGCCGCGACUCAGCUCCCCUGCUCUGCCCGCGAUUCUGCCCCCUGCUCUGCCCGCAUCUCCAUAGCGCUGGUUCCGCUACGCCCCGCCAUCUCCGCUCUACUCUGCCCGUGGCGGCGCCUGUGACGUGCCGAUAUGGCGGCGCCGCGGCCGGUUCCGAUCUGGAGAACCAGCGGGCGGUGGUGCAUGGUCUGGGCGGCGCCGAACUGCGUGGCCCCGAUUCUGCAUUCACGCCUCCUUCCUCCGUCGCCCAGAUACAAGGCGGCUCUCUCCUAGCCAACCUCCAGCCAUGCCUCUUCCUCUCCUGUUUGACCGACUCUCUUCUCCUCUGGAGAAGUAGCACGGGGCGGAGCUGCGCCUGAUCCGCUGCCGACAACGCACGUCUCAGCCCCAAGCCCAAGCUGUUUGAAGCAAUUACUAUUAAGGUUUUAGUUUAAGAAGCAUUUAACUUUGCUGUUUGAAGCAAUUGCUAUUAAGGUUAAAAUACGUGGAUUUUCCUUUUAGUUUAAGAAGCAUUUAACUUUUCUGUUUGACUGUAUAUAUGUGCUCUCACAAUGUUUGCAAAUGCACAUGGUGUCCAUUUUGCAUCACUCCAAUAUUGAUAUCUUUUGUUAGUAUUCAGAGAUGAUCUAGCAGAUUGAGCGAGAUGUAAAACACACUCACCCUGACAUGCAUUUCUUCUGUGGAGACUCUUCUUUUGCAAAAUCCAAUCAGGUUGGGGAUGGCGGUAAAAGGAGCAUGUUAUCAUAGCAGUGGCGGUGUCUCAUCUUGGGUUACUCCAUCGUCCUAUAAGGUCACCGACAGACUAUCAGAUCUCUAGGAGGUGGUACCGGGUGGUGAUGUCAGGGGGCCAAGGCCAGCUGCUGAUGUGAAGAAGACGAACAUGCAGGAGCAGGUCAAGCCACUUACUGAUCCCCCCAUCUCAUUCUACUCUGCUCACAAGGCGUUUGACAGAUUGCAUCAUAUGUUCUUUUUUCACCAUUUUCUCUUAAUAUCAAUUGGAGUCUGACAUUUUCCCUUCAUAUAUAUGGUGACUGAUACAAGAGCAUGCUAAUUAUCUUUUACUUAUUUUGAUUUGACGGUCUUGUCUAAUUGGUUGAUGGAGUAAUAGUGUCAUUUCUCUGUUUCUGAUAUCAAUGUAUCUAGUUUGAUUUGCGAUCACAAAAUAGAACCAUUGGGAUUAGAUUGUGUACGUGGUUUUGACUUCAGGCCUUUAUCCUGUAGAGAUCAGAUAGGGAACCAGGAAUUUUCAAUAAUCUUCUUCUCUGCUAAUACUCCUACAAAUCAGUGAUGAAGUUUGUAGGUGUGAUAGCAUAAUGAAACUAUCUGAUAGUGACAGAAGGUGUUUAGCCGGAACUACAUCAGUAGGAACCAUCGCAAUGACCUUGUUGCAGUAGUUCCUUAGGUAUGCUGUAUAGGUUUAGUUAAGGUAUAAUCAGCCUGCUCAUCAAACUGCUCAAGUUCUUGGUUUAGUGAGUGACCUGUUCGACCAGGGAUUACUCCCUCCUCAGUACUGGUGGUUUAAAUUUGAAAUGCCGCUAGACUCUCGUAAGUAUUUUUAUGGUACAUAUUUUCAUGUCAAGUACAGUGAGGGGUAAUCGAAUACGGAGUACAUACUGCCAAUAAGCAAAAUCCACCAGCAAUAGGUCAUUCAGGAUUAGGUUUGGUACUUUAUAGCUGAAUAGGUGAGUGCUUAGAAAAGAUUGCAACACACCAUACUCUAGGGAGGCACUUCAGAUUAGUGGUACAUAUUUAUUGUACUCUUAGUGUUAUUAUUUUUGAAUCAUUGACCUGCCUCUUAUCUUUCUACAUAGAGUAUGGUGAUGUACAGAGCUCUUGAUACAUUUCAAUAAAUAUUUUACUAGAUACAUUGCUGCAGGCGCUAAAAUGCUAUAGCUAGACAUGGAUUGGUCAGGAAUUCUACAGCAUUUGCUUCAAUGUCUUUGCAGAUCCUGGGUAGCAUGGAUUCAGUUCAUGAAAAUACAUUUGUCCGCACCCAGACUGAAACUAAUGUUAAGGACUUUUUGACACUAUGUCAAAUAACACGUUGUUUUGGCAUUACAUUGAAGAUUAUUCGGGACUUUUUAUGGAGGGUGAUAGAUUCAGUUUUCCAUUGUCACUACUAGAACAAAUUAUGAAGUGCCGAUUCUUCAUGUCGCUUCUUCUGUCGGGCCAAAACAGUUGAGUAGUUGUUGCAUCAGCAAGUGCUCACUGUAUCAUGGUUCCAGUUGAGCAAGUGAAGAGAAUUCUUGGCCCAAUUUUAUUUACUCCAUGCUCGUCUCCUGAUGCAAUAUAUGUGGCACUUGCCUUUCUCCUUACUUCUGUAUUAAUAUGAGUAUUGCAUUUGAAAUAAUGUGAAAUAUAAUUGCGUUUAAUAGGAUGGUUAUGAAGUUUUAAGGUUUCGCCAGUAGUGCUUCGAGUAACGGUUGUGCUUAUUUUGUUAUAUGUUUAGUAUUAUUAUGCUGCACUUGUUUGAAUUCCAGCAUCAUCUGGAGUGGUCCACAAGACGGUUAUUCUACUUUGGUAUCAACCAGUAUUACUUGUCUGAAUUCCAGAUAUGCUAGGGUGGAGUUAUUUAAGGUUUCGCCCCAAUGUUUAUAUGAAAUUAAUGCAUUGUCGGUAGUGGUGGUUUGCGUAGCAGUCAUGUUAUUUUUGUCAACUGUUCAGCAUUCUUACGACAAUAAUGGUACUAAUUCAAGCUCUGUCUUUAAUGGUUUACAAAACGGUUGUUCUACCUACGUACGUUGGUUGUCCAGUAUUAUCUCUGAAUUCCUGACAAGCUACUAUUUCCGUAUAUCUCUGAAUUCCUGACAAGCAUCUGAAUCGGGGUGAGGGAGUUAAGCUACAAGGCCGAUUAUAGAGAUGAGUUAACUGUUUAGUAUAUUUAUGCGUGUCCUUAUCAAUAUGAUUGUCAUUUUUUACCUUAUAUUGAGAAAUUUAAGAGUUAGAAUACCUUGCUUUAUACUUUCUUCUUCUUCUCCUAUGUUCCUAAGCCAGUUUGCAAGACUGCAAGUGAUUGGAUCAACGAGAGAUCUCCUGAUGCAUUGGGAGAAUUUGUUUUGUGGUGUAUAGAUAGCAUCAUGUUGGAAUUGUCAGGUCCAACUGUUGGACUAAGGGCGCGAAGAAGGUUGUUCAACAAACUCCAAAAGCCCAGCGAGUCAAAACACAAUUUCUUUUGGAAAGAGCACCACGAGGCCAGGUGGUAACUGCACUAUAGCAUGGCGGGAUAUUUGCAAGCCGAUUGAGCUGCGUGAUCUCAGCGUUAAGGAUCUACAGAAGAUGGGUAUCAUGCGGUUUCUUCAUCUGGCUCAGGUCCUUAUCAAGUGCAGCUCAGUGAUGAUCCAUAUCAGCUUCUUUGGCAAUGGAUGGAAUCGUGCCAGUACUCUGCAAGUCUGCUUACAAUACCUUCUUAAGCGGUCAGGUCAAGUAUCCUCUGCCAUCUCUGAUUGGGGUUGCUGGGUGUUGUUGAAGUAAAAACAAAUUUUGGUUGGUGUUGGCCAAUCGGUGCUGGACAAUAGACUGCCUUGCCCACCCUGAUGGUUUCUUUUUCGUAGUUUGAUUUAUCUGAUAAUGGUUUGUCGUUCGCUGUUUUCUUACGUUUUGUACCUAAUCGUUUUGUUAUGUUGUUUACAUUACCUUUUAUUUCUUUCCUUAUACAAAUUGUCAGAUUGCUUUGUCUCCAUCUUGAAAGAAAAAUUGCUGCCAUAGAACCAUGUUGACCCGAGGUUGAGCUAUGUGCCACCAUGCAUGGUAUCGGUAA